UGAUGGCGACCGGCGCACGGGUGAGUAACACGUAUCCAACCUGCCGAUGACUCGGGGAUAGCCUUUCGAAAGAAAGAUUAAUACCCGAUGGCAUAGUUCUUCCGCAUGGUAGAACUAUUAAAGAAUUUCGGUCAUCGAUGGGGAUGCGUUCCAUUAGGUUGUUGGCGGGGUAACGGCCCACCAAGCCUUCGAUGGAUAGGGGUUCUGAGAGGAAGGUCCCCCACAUUGGAACUGAGACACGGUCCAA
rnacentral:rRNA from 1 species